GCGCCCGUGGUGUAGUGGUAGCACCGGAGGCUUCCAAUCUCCUGGCGCCGGUUCGAACCCGGCCGGGCGCU
rnacentral:tRNA from 1 species